GACGAACGCUGGCGGCGUGCUUAACACAUGCAAGUCGAACGGAAAGGCCCUACUUUUGUGGGGUGCUCGAGUGGCGAACGGGUGAGUAACACGUGAGUAACCUGCCCUUCACUUUGGGAUAACUUCAGGAAACUGGGGCUAAUACCGGAUAGGAGCUCCUGCUGGAUGGUGGGGGUGGGAAAGUUUCGGCGGUUGGGGAUGGACUCGCGGCUUAUCAGCUUGUUGGUGGGGUAGUGGCUUACCAAGGCUUUGACGGGUAGCCGGCCUGAGAGGGUGACCGGCCACAUUGGGACUGAGAUACGGCCCAGACUCCUACGGGAGGCAGCAGUGGGGAAUAUUGCACAAUGGGCGGAAGCCUGAUGCAGCAACGCCGCGUGGGGGAUGACGGCCUUCGGGUUGUAAACCGCUUUCGCCUGUGACGAAGGGUGAGUGACGGUAACGGGUAAAGAAGCACCGGCUAACUACGUG
rnacentral:rRNA from 1 species